GUAUAUUCCUAAAUGCAGAUUUUGUUUUCUCUUUUUCUCGUCUUAUUCUCUUCCUUUCCUUCAUUGUCCGAUAUUUUCUGUUUUGUGUUGACAGAGUAAGCUAGCAGCGGUGGUGGUGCCUGGAAGCUAGCGGCGGCAUGAGAUGGUGGAGGUGGAGCGUACCAUGGAAGACGACGGCGUAAGAUGGCUCGACGAGCCAAAUAUUUUCUCAGGGUAUAUGAGGUCAAGGAGUGAGCUAUAGAAAGUGAGUUUAAUCUGCGCACUGUGUGCUCAACAAAGAAGCUGUCGAAGGUCGAUGGUGAAGAUCCUUCGUUUUCAAGGCUGAGAUAUAGAAGAUUGAUAUGCGUCAAUUGGAUUGAGAUAUCUACAACAUAUAUCAUCACCAUCAUCACCAGAUUGAGAUGCGUCAACUGGAGACAGAAUAGAGGAAGAGAUCGAGAAGAAUGAGGCAAAGGAGGAAGGAGGCGACAGCAGCAGAAAGAUUAGGUUUAGAGUUAAUUAGGGUGUGGUUAAUUAAGUAUAUAUUUUGGUUAAUUAGUUUUUGGUUUACUUAGUUUUUUUUUCUGGUUUAGUUUUGUAAAACUAAUCAUAUUUGUAAAUUGAUUUUAAUUAAUAAAUAUAAUUCAAUUUUAAUUUUAAAUUUGGAUUAAUUUUAGUUUUAAUUUAUAUUAUAAUUCAAUUGUGUAAAUUAAAUACAUAUAAUUUUAUAGUAUUUUACAGUGCUAUAAAUAAAAAAAUAUAAUAGAAAUAUAUGAUUGCUAUUGUAUAAGGAUCUAUCAUAGCAGGAAACAUAAAUUGAUAAUCAAUUUGUAACACAAAAAUAGUGUUAUAGUUAAGUUAAUAACAUCAUCUAAUUAUUGCUAUCGUAUCUACGCAUUUCGUAGCGUCAAAAAAAAAAAUGCUAUCGUAUAAAGGGUACAUAUGAUGGCUCCCGGUGACAUAGCAUAACAGAAAACGCUGUGAAAGCUCUACCAUAGCGUUUUUCGUGAGCUAAGAAUGUACAUAUUUCUUGUAGUGAGUCUACACCACUAACCUUGGGCGUUCGUUCCCCUGGAUGCUCGUCCCUCUCCUUCUCCUUAUCCUUCUGUCUGGUAUCCAUCUUCACGGCCUGGCCUUCCCACGAUCAGAACACGCCGGCAAGACAACACCACCCCACACGGUUCUCUUCUCUAACCGCCGAUCUCUCUCUCUCUCUCUCUUUCUCUCUCUCUCUUUCUCUCUCUCUCUCUCUCUCUCUCUCUCUCUCUUUAUCUUUCUGGUGUGAUUUUGGCAGAGCUUUGCCUAAGGAAUUUCGUGCCAUUUUCUGUGCCAGGUUAUAGAGAAAGCCAUGCCCAACUGGCCUGAAGAAACCGGCACAAGCAGUUAAAGGGAAAGGGCACAAACUGCCCCUUUUGCACCUUUUCGGUAUAACCGCCCAACUGCUCUUCCUCUCCUUUGGGCUGUCCGAAAAUGAGGCCCAGUACAUCAUCCUGAGUCCCUUGUCCAAUGGCCAAGACCCACGGACCCUUGGUGGUUCAUGCCAAGAUCCCACCAGCCCAUAACCGCCCAUGACCCGACCACACCGGCCCGGACCAUAACACUCAACCGAGCUGGCCACCAACUGUUCCCAGCUGAGUGAGCUAGUCUAUCAGCUCCAGUGAGCUACCCAAGACUGAGUGAGCUAACUCCACACUAUCCCCAGCUGGUUGAGCUUGCUCUCGGCCUCGCCCAGCUACCGGAUCACUCGCCCAACUCUCUUAAGUUUUCCUUUACGUUAUCAUGGUUAAGUCUCAGCUUUCUGAUGCCCUUAACCUUGUCAUUGAGCCAUGAUACGCUUGUCCUUAGGUCUGAUGACCUGACUGGUGCGUCUCCUCGCACCAUGGCUCGUCCCAACGAUCCUAUCUAGGAUCGGGGAUGCUACACCUAAUCCAAUAUGAACCCAUGUCACCGAAAGUGUGAAAUUCCAGGCAGAUGCAUUCAUAGUCUACCUAAAGCGUCGAAUAUAAACUCAACCGAAAGGAUGAACUAGCAGGCUGAUGAAUUUUUAUUCUAUAUGACCCAUGUGGAAUAAGAAAAUUCAAAACUGCCAAGUACAAAUGACAAAGCCAAUAUUGUAGACACAAAGAGUAUGUUGAUAUGGAUAUGGCUUUAUGGAAGCUGGUAAUUCUGGCCCCAAAUGUCAACACAAGUCGACUAUAAUUCAAAUCCUCUCAAGUAAUCACUAUACCCAAACAUGGGAAUAUAAAUCCUAAACUCAAAUAUAAACCAUAAAUUCAAAUAGAAUGGAACAAAAUAAAUAAUAUAAUAUGAAAGUUCAGUAGUGUUCUAUUCCAUACCACCAAAAUAGUAUAUAACACCAACCCCAUACAACCCCUCAAUAAUUAACCAUAUAACAAUCCCACCAUAAACUCCUAAAUACUUAACCUUAAACCAUAAUCACUAAAUCCUAAACUCAAAUAUAAACCCUAAACUCAAAUAUAAACCUUCAACCUAAAUAGAAUGGAACUAAAUAAAUAGCAUAGUACAUAUUGGUAAAAUUAUGAAAUGUUUAUGAUAUCAUGGAAGAAGUUAAUGUUAGAAGUUAAUGUUAACUCCAACCUUAUCCCCUCACCGACAAAAUACUAUACCCUAAACCUUAAUCAUUAAACCCUAAACCAUAAACCCAAAUAUUAAAAGUAUGUAGUAAUUAAUUUCCUUAAAUCAUAGACCUAACCCCCAAUCUCACUCACCCUCUAAAUUCUAAACCUUAAACUUUAUUUACUAAACCCUAAAUUCAAAUAUAAACCUUAAACCCAAACAACAAAUGUAGAUGUGGUUAACAAAAUUUGUGUGAAGUUUACACUUAUGUGGAUUGGGUUAACGAAAUGAUAAAACUGAGUUUUAAAUUCUUAGUUUUGAUCAAUACACAUAAACUAAGAUAUAGCAAUAAUACAACAACAAAACAUAACUUAUGCUUAUGCACUGUACAAUCAUAUUUCUAUUAUAUGUUCUGCGUAUAGAAUAGAAUACAACAAAUUAAUAAUAAAGAUUAUAUACUCCAUUUCAC